rnacentral:rRNA from 1 species
UUGGAGGGCAAGUCUGGUGCCAGCAGCCGCGGUAAUUCCAGCUCCAAUAGCGUAUAUUAAAGUUGUUGCAGUUAAAAAGCUCGUAGUUGAAUUUCGGGGUCAGCAGGUUGGUCGUGCCAAUGGUAUGCACUGGCCUUGCUGAUUCCUCCCUCUUGAUGAGCCGUAAUGCCAUUAAUUUGGUGUUGCGGGGAAUCAGGACUGUUACUUUGAAAAAAUUAGAGUGUUUCGAGCAGGCAAGCGCUUGAAUACAUUAGCAUGGAAUAAUGAAAUAGGACGUUUGAUCCUAUUUUGUUGGUUUCUAGGAUUGACGUAAUGAUUAAUAGGGAUAGUUGGGGGCAUUAGUAUUCAAUUGUCAGAGGUGAAGUUCUUGGAUUUAUUGAAGACUAACUACUGCGAAAGCAUUUGCCAAGGAUGUUUUCAUUAAUCAAGAACGAAAGUUAGGGGAUCGAAGACGAUCAGAUACCGUCGUAGUCUUAACCAUAAACUAUGCCGACUAGGGAUCGGGAUGGAAUGUAAAA